CAUCAAGAAGCUAAACUGGGUAAAGCGUUAGCCUUUUAAGCUAAAAACUGGUGAUUCCCUAACACCCUUGGUGU
rnacentral:tRNA from 1 species